UGGGGAAUAUUGGACAAUGGGCGAAAGCCUGAUCCAGCCAUGCCGCGUGUGUGAAGAAGGUCUUCGGAUUGUAAAGCACUUUAAGUUGGGAGGAAGGGCAUUAACCUAAUACGUUAGUGUUUUGACGUUACCGACAGAAUAAGCACCGGCUAACUCUGUGCCAGCAGCCGCGGUAAUACAGAGGGUGCAAGCGUUAAUCGGAAUUACUGGGCGUAAAGCGCGCGUAGGUGGUUUGUUAAGUUGGAUGUGAAAUCCCCGGGCGCAACCUGGGAACUGCAUUCAAAACUGACUGACUAGAGUAUGGUAGAGGGUGGUGGAAUUUCCUGUGUAGCGGUGAAAUGCGUAGAUAUAGGAAGGGACACCAGUGGCGAAGGCGACCACCUGGUCUAAUACUGACACUGAGGUGCGAAAGCGUGGGGAGCAAACA
rnacentral:rRNA from 1 species